ACACAUGCAAGUCGAACGAAGGCUUCGGCCUUAGUGGCGCACGGGUGCGUAACGCGUGGGAAUCUGCCCUCAGGUUCGGAAUAACAGCGAGAAAUUGCUGCUAAUACCGGAUGAUAUCGCGAGAUCAAAGAUUUAUCGCCUGAGGAUGAGCCCGCGUAGGAUUAGCUAGUUGGUGUGGUAAAGGCGCACCAAGGCGACGAUCCUUAGCUGGUCUGAGAGGAUGAUCAGCCACACUGGGACUGAGACACGGCCCAGACUCC
rnacentral:rRNA from 1 species